AUGAGACUCCAAGAAGCUCGUCAGGAACGACCAGCUGAAGCGCGCGUGCACGCAAAUCCGGCGGCCUCGACUCCUUCAAAUAGUCUCAUGAAAAAUUUGUGCUCAAUUUCUACCGAAGGCACAAAAUCUCGAGCCCGCUCUCGCUCCCCGUCGCCGCCCCCGCCGGCCCUCCUCAUCGCCGCCCCCGCCGGCCCUCCUCAUCGUCGCUCCUCGUUGCCCUCCUCGUCGCUGCUGUUAGCCGCCGCGCCGCCCCCUGUGAGCCACCGCCGCCGCCCUGCCCCGGCCCCUCUGUUUUUUUUCUUUCAUGAUUUUUCAUGCUGA
rnacentral:rRNA from 1 species